CACUUGCAGCGCGGACACUGUCCGUCUUUCACCUAUUUAGCCCGAGCCAUUUUCAUUAGCGCGAGGCUGUCUGCUAGCACAACAGGGACGGUUGUAAUCAGCAGCCAUAAACUGUGAAGUGGGAGAACCUAAACGUGACGUCAAUGCCUAGUAACUGACGCAGCCCUUUAAAAAAAAGAGAGAUAGAGAGAGAGAGAGAUUCUGCAAGCAUUAAUUAUCGUCGUUUGUGUACUGCUCUAAAGACAAAACAUAUUCCGCUCGCAGUGCGAUUGAUUACGAUUGUUUGCGCGCGCGGCUCCGUCUGUGUGUGUCUCUGUGUGAGUGUGUGCGUGCGUGCGUAUGUUUUUUAUGAGCAGCGAAUCCGUCCCGAGUUUCCAAGCUAAAGUUGCAUGGAGACACGCCGCGUAAGACGCGUAUAAUAAAGAGGAUGGUGAGCAACAUAAAGGAGCGAGGAGAGCGAGAACAACUUGUGCUGAGAAAGCGAACCUUUAAGAAAUAUUUAGCCCAUAAGAGAGAGGGUCACUGAAGCAGUUCGUUUGAAAAAAAAAAAAAAGAAGAAAUUCACUGCAGCGAUGCAUCGGAGGCGAGUCAGAUGGAGUUGGCGAGGCAAAAUUAAUGUACAUUACAUGCACUCCACGUAACGCUCCUGAGCGAUGUCUUUGUGAGUGUUUUUUUUUUUCUUACUGGGCGCUAAAAAUAGCAUCAGUGUUUGAUCUUGGUCCAGAAAUAGGCAGAGGGUAUCACUUGUAUAAAAAGGACUGCGAUUCUGAGAAAACUUGGACAUGUUGCUAAGGAUAGAUAUGAAUCAAGGGCAGUAUUUGAUUUUCAUCUUGCUUGUUGUUUUUGUCACGUAUGAUGGUUUUAUACUCAUGUCUGUGUUUUCCCUGCUUUCAGCCUAGGGCUUCCUGCACUGACCAGGAAUCUCGCGAAUGGUAAAUAAGUGAAAUCCACAUCCAAACUCCUUUGUCUGACGGCGCUGUUGAGUCGUUUUUUGCCUCUUCGCUACAGCUGAGAGUGUGAAUGGAAACCGAUAACACUAGAAGAGUGAGGGGACAUAUCUCUCAAAAUAUGUGAAGAGGAAAAUGGGCUAAUAAAUAUAGGUGGAAGACGCCGCGCCAAAAGGAAAAUCACCAGCAACAGCCGACGAGGGAAGCCCUGGUGUGGCGUCAAGGGGUUCCGUGCAUCCAAAAUCGCCCUUAAAUGGUCAGCCCUGUUUUGGCCAUUACCCUUGAAAGGGAUGCCACUCGGCACACGUUCUCAUAAUAAGCUUAAGGGUUUUUUGUUUGUUUGUUUUUGUUUGUUUGUUUUUUUGUGCAGUGUUCCCGCGUGCGUUGUUUGAACACUUCCAUCAGAUCGAGACUGCACGAGACUGUGUAGCUAUAGGCGGAUUCACAUGGAUUACUCUUCCGCCCACGUCAUUUUCAUUAUACAGUACUGCAAUCGACAGUUUUCUAUUGCAGUGGACUAUAAUAUUGGUCUUGUGCCAAAACUAACGCGUUUGUGCAGUUGCGCAAAACAAUCACGUUGUGAUCGCCAGUGUUGUUUUAAUCAAAGCAUCUCUUAAUAAACGUCUAACUUCAAUCCUGCAGCGUGCGCGAGUGCCUUAAGCGUUAGCAGACAGUAUUUUUCGAAUUGUUUCAGAGGGAUUAAAUGGUCAUGUAUAUGUAUUCAACAUCAAAAAUUGCAUGUGAGUUCGCUUAAAUACUUAAAACCGUACAUGUCAGAGUAGAGAGUCCAGGAAUGACCGCUGAUCUUUGCAGAAACAAAACUCAUUACCUUGACCUUUUCAAAGACACUGUGGCUCUCUAUACACCUUUCCCAGACAUAGCAAGAUCUUCUUAAGUCAAUGCUGGCGUUGUAAUUUUUGUCGAAACACGGUUUUAUCCGAGUCGUGACUGCUAUAGUGAGUAAUAUGUGCGCGUUGGCUGCGUCAGGAGAUGCAGUCGCUGUGCGGUGCAGACAGAAGGGGAGAAUCGUGACUGACUGGAGACGUCCGCAAAUGAUGCGACCACCAAAUAAAAUCCUCAUAAUGGUGGCAUCUGGGGUUGAAUUUAUUUUUGUUUUUAGAUUUUUACACCUGUUACAUCUCAAGCCAUAUCUCUUUUGCCUAGCCACCUCAACCUCCCCUUGCACCACGAAGGCGCAAGAAGAAUAUCAGUGAUUGAGGGGAAGGGAGGGGGGAGAUCUUUGGAUCGGGAUGAAUUUAGACUGGGGGGAGGGAGGGGGUCCAGAUAUAGACAGUGACCCUCCCACUUCGUAUAGUUCCUUGCAUAGUUCCAAGAAGAGCCACUCUUUAACAAUUUUGACAAAUGAUCGCAUGGAUCCAAGAAAAGAACUUCACGGGGCAGGACAGAACUUGAGGCAUCCACCGUGUCAAGUACAGAGGGUGAAUGAACGCUCGACUCACAGAACGAUCCCAGACGGUGUUGCUCGUGACAAAAUCUGCUGAUGAUUGGAGGUCUAUGGAAAAGUGAGAUGUGAAGCGAACUGGCUGUAUUCCUCAUGGAAGCAGAGGAAAGGCUGACAGGCAUGGAAGAUGAUGGAAGAAAAAGGAGGGGUUUACCAAUAAAUAAGGAUACAAAUAUGGGAAAACGUUACCUUGUAUCCUGCACACAAGAUCAACGUCGAACCAACGUCUGUUAGACUGCUGUACACCUGUAAAUGGAUAUUAAGCAAGUUGAUUACUUUGUAGGAACAACAUAACAUCGUCAGGUAUUUGCAAUAUCUGUCUGUAAACUACCUGGGUUUAAUAAAUGAGCCGGACUUGCUUACGUGUCACGUGCACACGUGAGACUCAUGAGCUGCGAGACGUAAGGAAAUAUGACAAUGAUGUAGUACGUAUUUGAGCUUAAAAAAUGUUUACUUGCACAUAAAACCAUGUAUAGAUACAUUUGUUGUAAUUAUUUACCUUAAUUAGUGAAAUUGUGUAGACGAGAUGCACAUGAACGCUUGUGUUGAGUCGUGUUGCUUUAGUUCUCAAAGACAUGAAGGCAAACACAUACUGAUUUAAUCUUAUUUGUUCUAAUUAAAUCAUAGCCUAUAUGUAGCUUCAAAUGGAUUUGUUGUGACUGUGAUAAUAAGAACUUGUGCGUAACGCGAGCGUCUGCAGACUUGUGUGAAAAUUACAGGCGCGAGUUUUAGCUUGUGGUGCUUUAUAAUUGUUAGGGUUACAUAUUCGUGAGAUCUUAAUAGCUUGUUUAACAUGUUGAAUGGAGCUGCAGACGGAGAGUUGGAGCUGUCAGGCGUUUUCUGUGCACGCUCUGCUGCUGCUGACGUAUCACUCCCACGGCCCAAGUGAGUUUAGGACUCAAAUAAUGCUGUGUUCUAUUAGUUCUUUAGCUAAAUAUGUUUAUUAUAUCGUAUAUGUGUAAUAAGGUUUCAUAACUAGUGUUUAGGGAGCAUUUUGAACACAGUAAAUGUGAAAUAUGACUUGUUGGGACUGGGAGUUAUCAAAGGGUCAAAUGGGUUGGGUCCUGCGGGGGGGCGGGGGGGGGGGGUAUGAUGUCGAAAUUAUAUGUUUUAAAGUUUGUCUAAGCAAAAGAUAAUUAAGUAAAAUAUCUAUAUUUUGCAUCAGUUAUUAUUUUGUAGUAUAUAAAUUACAAAAAAAUAAAUAUAAUAACUGAUAAUGCACUAUGUAGCCUAGCUAUCGGAUUGCUUGUGCCUUACGUAACUUUUAUUUUUAUUGCUUCAUAAUUAUAGUAUUUUCUGCUUUGCUGUUACUGUAUAUCAUACAACCCAAAACGUGCUUAACAGUUUGAGCUGAACUGAGUAAUUUGAGUAAAGUGUGGUUGCUGCAGUGUGCACGACGUGAGAGCGUAACGUGCGAGUUCUGCAUUUCUGAGUAUUUGAAUGACAUUUCUGUAUAGUGCACAGAGAAAAAUAUGCUGCAUUAACUAUUCGACCCUGACUAAUUGUUUAGCUAUUUCAUUACAUGAAACAAGAUGUGCAUGUGGUGUGAGAAAUAUGUGAUUUGAUUAUGUUGCAAAAUCUAAAAGCUGGAAGUUUGUCGUUCAGGUGACAAAGAAAAAAAAAAUGACUCACGUAUUUUGUAAUCAAACUGCUGGCUUUCUGUAUUCUCUAUUACAUGUCAGAGAAAAUAAAAUGUUUGGAGUUAUUUUAGAGUCUGCUUGCUUAUUUGUAUGUUUUUAAGUGUGGGGGGAUCUGGAAAAUGAACACUAUG
ensembl:lncRNA